AGAAGCUUGCUUCUCUUGAGAGCGGCGGACGGGUGAGUAAUGCCUAGGAAUCUGCCUAGUGGUGGGGGAUAACGUUCGGAAACGGACGCUAAUACCGCAUACGUCCUACGGGAGAAAGCGGGGGAUCUUCGGACCUCGCGCCAUUAGAUGAGCCUAGGUCGGAUUAGCUAGUUGGUGAGGUAAUGGCUCACCAAGGCGACGAUCCGUAACUGGUCUGAGAGGAUGAUCAGUCACACUGGAACUGAGACACGGUCCAGACUCCUACGGGAGGCAGCAGUGGGGAAUAUUGGACAAUGGGCGAAAGCCUGAUCCAGCCAUGCCGCGUGUGUGAAGAAGGUCUUCGGAUUGUAAAGCACUUUAAGUUGGGAGGAAGGGCAGUAACCUAAUACGUUAUUGUUUUGACGUUACCGACAGAAUAAGCACCGGCUAACUUCGUGCCAGCAGCCGCGGUAAUACGAAGGGUGCAAGCGUUAAUCGGAAUUACUGGGCGUAAAGCGCGCGUAGGUGGUUCAGUAAGUUGGAAGUGAAAUCCCCGGGCUCAACCUGGGAACUGCUUUCAAAACUGCUGAGCUAGAGUACGGUAGAGGGUGGUGGAAUUUCCUGUGUAGCGGUGAAAUGCGUAGAUAUAGGAAGGAACACCAGUGGCGAAGGCGACCACCUGGACUGAUACUGACACUGAGGUGCGAAAGCGUGGGGAGCAAACAGGAUUAGAUACCCUG
rnacentral:rRNA from 1 species